rnacentral:rRNA from 1 species
UACGUGGCACACGGCUCAGUAACACGUAGUCAACAUAACCAAAGGACGUGGAUAAACUCGGGAAACUGAGGCCAAACCGCGAUAGAUCAAGAUACCUGGAAUGGUUUUUGAUCAAAAUCUAUAUGGCCUUUGGAUUGGACUGCGUCCGAUCAGGCUGUUGGUGAGGUAAUGGCCCACCAAACCUGUAACUGGUACGGGCUCUGAGAGGAGGAGCCCGGAGAUGGGUACUGAGAAAAGGACCCAGGCCCUAUGGGGCGCAGCAGGCGCGAAACCUCUGCAAUAGGCGAAAGCCUGACAGGGUUACUCUGAGUGACUUUCGCUAAGAAAGUCUUUUGACACCUCUAAAGAUGGUGUAGAAUAAGGGGUGGGCAAGUCUGGUGUCAGCCGCCGCGGUAAUACCAGCACCCCGAGUGGUCGGGACGAUUAUUGGGCCUAAAGCAUCCGUAGCCGGUUUUACAAGUCCUCCGUUAAAUCCAGCUGCUUAACAGAUGGGCUGCGGAGGAUACUAUAAGACUAGGAGGCAGGAGAGGCAAGCGGUACUCAGUGGGUAGGGGUAAAAUCCGUUGAUCCAUUGAAGACCACCAGUGGCGAAGGCGGCUUGCCAGAAUGCGCUCGACGGUGAGGGAUGAAAGCUGGGGGAGCAAACCGGAUUAGAUACCCGGGUAGUCCCAGCUGUAAACGAUGCAGACUCGGUGAUGGACUAGCUUUAUGCUAGUCCAGUGCCGCAGGGAAGCCGUUAAGUCUGCCGCCUGGGUAGUACGGUCGCAAGACUGAAACUUAAAGGAAUUGGCGGGGGAGCACCACAAGGGGUGAAGCCUGCGGUUCAAUUGGAUUCAACGCCGGG